GAUGAACGCUAGCGACAGGCCUAACACAUGCAAGUCGAGGGGCAGCACAUGAGUAGCAAUACGAUGGUGGCGACCGGCGCACGGGUGAGUAACACGUAUGCAACCUGCCUGUAAGAGGGGGAUAACCCGGAGAAAUUCGGACUAAAUACCGCAUAAUACCACGAGACUGCAUGGUUUUGUGGUUAAACAUUUAUGGCUUACAGAUGGGCAUGCGUAUGAUUAGAUAGUUGGUAGGGUAACGGCCUACCAAGUCUACGAUCAUUAGGGGUUCUGAGAGGAAGGUCCCCCACACUGGUACUGAGACACGGACCAGACUCCUACGGGAGGCAGCAGUGAGGAAUAUUGGUCAAUGGGCGAGAGCCUGAACCAGCCAAGUCGCGUGAAGGAAGAAGGUUCUAUGGAUUGUAAACUUCUUUUGCAGGGGAAUAAAGGACGGUACGUGUACUGUUUUGUAUGUACCUUGCGAAUAAGGAUCGGCUAACUCCGUGCCAGCAGCCGGGGUAAA
rnacentral:rRNA from 1 species